AAUCAGUUACAGCCACAACAACAACUAAUGAUACUUCAACAAAACUACAAGUCUAUCGAGUUUGGUGGUGGUAUGUUGCAGUUGCAGCUCUCUUAAUAACUGUUGUUAUUGUUGUUGGAUUCAUCAUAUGGAAGAAAACUAAAGG